UGAGUAAUGUCUGGGAAACUGCCUGAUGGAGGGGGAGUAACUACUGGAAACGGUAGCUAAUACCGCAUAACGUCGCAAGACCAAAGAGGGGGACCUUCGGGCCUCUUGCCAUCAGAUGUGCCCAGAUGGGAUUAGCUAGUAGGUGGGGUAACGGCUCACCUAGGCGACAAUCCCUAGCUGGUCUGAGAGGAUGACCAGCCACACUGGAACUGAGACACGGUCCAGACUCCUACGGGAGGCAGCAUG
rnacentral:rRNA from 1 species